rnacentral:ncRNA from 1 species
CGCGCGUCCGUGGUUGAAAGUCGAUGCCAGUCGCAGGCGAAACGAUCCACGUAAGCCGGGAAAAUUCCGGUGAGCAUGGUGCGGCUUAGAGGUAAGUCCUGCGUGUCCCAGCGAGGACAUAGAGGGGUAGUAGUGGGGAGGCCAAGUCCUUAGGAGCGAACCCUCCAGCAGGCGAGUGUGGGGUCAAAGACCAGGUCGGGCGCG